rnacentral:rRNA from 1 species
UACGGGGGGGAGCAAGCGUUGUUCGGAUUUACUGGGCGUAAAGGGCGCGUAGGCGGCCACCGCAAGUCGACUGUGAAAUCUCCGGGCUUAACCCGGAAAGGUCAGCCCGAUACUGCGGGGCUAGAGUGCAGAAGGGGCAACUGGAAUUCUCGGUGUAGCGGUGAAAUGCGCAGAUAUCAGGAGGAACACCAAUGGCGAAGGCAGCUCGCUGGGACGGUACUGACGCUGAGACGCGAAAGCGUGGGGAGCAAACAGG